rnacentral:rRNA from 1 species
UGCAAGUCGAGGGGCAGCAUGAAGUAGCAAUACUUUGAUGGCGACCGGCAAACGGGUGCGGAACACGUACACAACCUUCCUUUUAGUGGGGAAUAGCCCAGAGAAAUUUGGAUUAAUACCCCGUAACAUAACUGAGUGGCAUCACUCGGUUAUUAUAGCUUCGGCGCUAAAUGAUGGGUGUGCGUAUGAUUAGAUAGUUGGCGAGGUAACGGCUCACCAAGUCUACGAUCAUUAGCUGAUGUGAGAGCAUGAUCAGCCACACGGGCACUGAGACACGGGCCCGACUCCUACGGGAGGCAGCAGUAAGGAAUAUUGGUCAAUGGACGCAAGUCUGAACCAGCUAUGCCGCGUGAAGGAUUAAGGUCCUCUGGAUUGUAAACUUCUUUUAUCUGGGACGAAAAAAGGUCUUUCUAGACCCCUUGACGGUACCAGAUGAAUAAGCACCGGCUAACUCCGUGCCAGCAGCCGCGGUAAUACGGAGGGUGCAAGCGUUAUCCGGAUUCACUGGGUUUAAAGGGUGCGUAGGCGGGUAGGUAAGUCAGUGGUGAAAUCCUGGAGCUCAACUCCAGAACUGCCAUUGAUACUAUCUAUCUUGAAUAUUGUGGAGGUAAGCGGAAUAUGUCAUGUAGCGGUGAAAUGCUUAGAUAUGACAUAGAACACCCAUUGCGAAGGCAGCUUACUACGCAUAUAUUGACGCUGANGCACGAAAGCGUGGGGAUCAAACAGGAUUAGAUACCCUGGUAGUCCACGCCCUAAACGAUGGAUACUCGACAUACGCGAUACACUGUGUGUGUCUGANCGAAAGCAUUAAGUAUCCCACCUGGGAAGUACGUUCGCAAGAAUGAAACUCAAAGGAAUUGGCGGGGGUCCGCACAAGCGGUGGA